GGCGCAGGCGGCUUGGUAAGUCGGAUGUGAAAUCUCCUGGCCUAACUAGGAGGGGCCAUCCGAUACUGCCGGGCUAGAGUGCAGUAGAGGGAGGUGGAAUUCCCGGUGUAGUGGUGAAAUGCGUAGAUAUCGGGAGGAACACCAGUGGCGAAAGCGGCCUCCUGGGCUGUUACUGACGCUGAGGUCCGAAAGCGUGGGGAGCAAACAGGAUUAGAUACCCUGGUAGUCCACGCUGUAAACUAUGGAUACUAGGUAUGGGGAGUAUCGACCCUCUCCGUGCCGAAGCUAACGCUUUAAGUAUCCCGCCUGGGGAGUACGGUCGCAAGACUAAA
rnacentral:rRNA from 1 species